rnacentral:rRNA from 1 species
GAUGAACGCUGGCGGUAUGCUUAACACAUGCAAGUCGAACGGUCACUUCGGUGAUAGUGGCGGACGGGUGAGUAACGCGUGAGAAUCUGUCUUCAGGUCGGGGACAACAGUUAGAAAUGACUGCUAAUACCGGAUGUGCCUUUGGGUGAAAGAUUUAUUGCCUGAAAAAGAGCUCGCGUCAGAUUAGCUAGUAGGUGGUGUAAGAGACUACCUAGGCUCCGAUCUGUAGCUGGUCUGAGAGGACGAUCAGCCACACUGGAACUGAGACACGGUCCAGACUCCUACGGGAAGCAGCAGUGGGGAAUUUUCCGCAAUGGGCGAAAGCCUGACGGAGCAAUACCGCGUGAGGGAAGAAGGCUUUUGGGUCGUAAACCUCUUUUCUCAAGGAAGAUGAUGACGGUACUUGAGGAAUAAGCAUCGGCUAACUCUGUG